UACAGGGGGGGCAAGCGUUGUUCGGAAUUACUGGGCGUAAGGGGCCAGUAGGCGGCCAACUAAGUCACACGUGAAAUCCCCAGGCUUAACCUGGGAACUGCGUGUGAUACUGGAUGGCUUGAAUUCGGGAGAGGGAUGCAGAAUUCCAGGUGUAGCGGUGAAAUGCGUAGAUAUCUGGAGGAAUACCGGUGGCGAAGGCGGCAUCCUGGACCGACAUUGACGCUGAACGGCGAAAGCUAGGGGAGCAAACGGG
rnacentral:rRNA from 1 species